UAGAUCUCCAAUCAGGCAGGAUUACCC
rnacentral:rRNA from 3 species